GCUUCGGUGGCCUAGUGGUUAGAGCGUCAGCCUCAGAUGCGGGAGGUCGUGGGUUCUAUUUUCGGUCGAGUCA